GGCAUACAACGAUCUACACUUGAUAUAGCUAUCAUCCUAAUAAUAGCAUAUUGUUUGACCGUGAAUAAGGUUUAAGGACUAAACGAUAUAUCCUCCUAUAUCGAUUCAAAUAGUCCUAAGGACUUCAUGAUUUUUCCCCUUUCCAUGCGUUCUUCAUUGACUUCUCUGAUACCAUAUUAAUUAUCACGCCCCCGGCCCA
rnacentral:lncRNA from 1 species